CCCUCAUCUACGUGUAUUUGGUGUUUAAAAUUGGUUGCGUUUCAGUUAUGAGGACCGACUCCUGUAUUUGUCGCAACGAUGCGUCACGACAUGAUUUCUAUGCUAAUUCUGUCCAGUAAACCACAAUGUUGUUCUUUGGCAUGCUGGUAGAGCACCGAGAAAAACAGACAUCUGACUGUUUAAAAACUUCAAAACUCACUAGUAGCGACUUCUCUUGAAAAAUGGACAGAAUUUGGCACCGUGGUGUUUCAAGUACUGGCAGAAAAAGGGUUUAGCCCCCAAGGACAUUCAUGCUGAGAUGGUUGCUACAAUAGAUUUGAAUGGGUUAACAGAACCUACAGACUGUUCUUUUCUUCUGAAGAUGGGCUUUAUGCCUGAGAUAUAAAGGUUUUAUUAAACUUCCUGCAUUGUCAAAA
rnacentral:lncRNA from 1 species